ACCCUUAGGUUCCCUUUCCCAUUGGAUCUCAGUACUGGUCUUCGUGGUUGUAAGGAGGGAGAACAUGCUGAAAAUGGCCUCACAGCCUUGUAGUCUGGUACAAGCAUGUAGGCCUGCAUAAAGGAAAG
ensembl:snoRNA